AAGAUCUGUGCUUGGGAGAUCAGUCUGAUCUCUCCAUUGUAGCAUUCUUUUGUGAGUCACCAAUCAGAAUGGAAAAAGUGAAUAGAAAGAAAAAUGUUCUCUCACAAUGCUGCAAAAAGAAAAAGCCACUUACACUAAAUUCUAUAGAAUCUCUGCUGAUAUCUAAUAGCAUCCCUUGUUGAGCUAACCAGUUGAAUACAGGUAGGAUAUAGUUCCGCUAGCACAUCUCCACCAUCACCACAAUCAACAACCCCCACAAGAAAAUAACAGAAUGUAUGGAUCCUACACCUGCCUCAUGGAAAAAUCUGCUGGUGAAACUAAGCAACCUCUCUGCUUCAGAAUGAACUUUCCCAGAAAAAAACAACAGAGAGAAACAUCCAGUCCCCAGUGGGAAAACACUUUUUUAUGGAACAGCCAUUCCAUCUAAACUCACAGACCUAGUUCUCAAGGGAAUCCUACACAGUACCUUCAAAAGAUAGGCAUGGAGGGAAUCAUAAAUUUGACUGGACGCAAAAGUCGUGGGAUUAACAGACAGUGGUUUUGUAGCUCGUAAUUUACCUGCUUCCUCUGCCAAUCUCUCUGUACUCUUGCUGUAAGAACAGCUCUCUUCUAUACUGAAUAGUACUAUUAUUUUACAUAAUUAUUUUUAUCUAUCUCACCUAUUCUGUAUUUGGUAUAUAAUGGCUUCUGAUAAAUUCUCUUUGUGAGGUUUAUUGCCAACUUAAUUCUUCAAGGGAAUCCUUUUAUUUACCUAAUGAGGUCAAGCAAACUUAAUCAUUCUACCUUAUAUUUAGUAUAGGCUGUAUCUGCUUCUUUGCAAGGCCUGAGGAAGGGCACUUUUUGUCCAAAAGGUUGUUUACCAUCUCUUCCAGCUAUAUAGUUGGUCUAGAUAUUACCAACUGUAGCAGCAGAUUCAUCCCACAUUAAUUGUAUUAUGAUGGACAUAAGUCCAUCCAUAACCAAGAAUGUAAGGCAUAUAUACCCAACUUGUUGUUCAGAGAUGUAAGCCAGUGAUUUUCAACUUUUUUCAUUUGCAAACCCCUAAAAAGUUUUGAAUGGGGGCACGGACCCCUUUGGAAUCUAUUGUGUGUACAGAGAACAUUCUCUCUCUCCCCAUUCCCCCCUUCUCCUGUUCCAGUUUGUAGAUUGAUAAUCGCCAAGCGAGUAGAGGGGCCACAGGGCUGCAGUCCUAUGUGAAGUAGUGGCAGUAGCAGGAUGAGAUAGGGCUGUCCAGCUGAGCUCUGUCUGGUGGCUCUGGGCUGCCUGCUGCUGGCGUGUUGGUGGCCUCUGGCCACAGAGGGAGCUGGAGCAGCAGCAGCACUGAUGGCACUUUUCUUUGGGGUGGCGCCACCAUUUUUACAGCCACCUUUCAUGAAUAUUCUAGACGUGGUCCACAGAACCUCCACGGGUCUGUGGACCACAGAUUGAGAAACACUGACAUAGGCAAACAACCCUGUUUCAUUGAAUCCUCUGUGUGUUCCAGGAUGCACAUUUUACCAUUCAGUGUAUUGUAUUACAGUGAGAUUCAGCAAAUAGAUUGUUCCUUGACAAAUGUGCUUGUCUUUGUGUCUUGAGUUUUUAAUAAGCUUGGAUAUUUAAAUUAAAUAAUCAAUAUGGGGGACAAAAAAAAACAGCUGAGCCUGCUGCUCUUAUGCUUAUACUCAACUGUUUGCAUAAAUUUGCCAGGAUAGGAAAGAAUGUAAUCACAACCUGUUUUGAUAAGUUGCAGUUCUCUCUCCACCAUCCAAAAAGGAAAAACAGAUAGUCUUUCAUGAAAUGUGUUUCUUCCUACAUGCAUAGAAACUUGAAUAUCUUAUUACAAAUGCUGAAUUUGGUAUGAUGAAGUCAACCCCCACAAUUUCUGGUGGAUUCUGCUUAUAAUUGUUUCCAAAACCUACUAUGCAUAUGUCUAUAAUUUUUCAUUAUAUUUUAAUUACCAAAAUGCUUCUCAAGGAUAUACAGCAGUUCUAAUAUGUGUGACCUCAUUUCUUGUUUUUUCCCCCUUUCCCAUUCUGGCUUCUCUGUGCAAAAGUAUUUUGUUUUCAUACACUCUGGCAUAGCACAUGCUAACACUUAAACAGUUUUACGAUAUAAAUGAGAAGGAAAAACAGCAGUGUCGCAUACUGUGGGUGGUUCAUUUUCUUAAUUUACUAUUGAAAACAUAUGUGAACAUUUUGUAUAAAUAGAAAACAAUUGAAAAAUGCCAUAAUGUUACCAGCAGUUUAUAAAAUUCUGUAAUAAAGCUAUCUUUUCUGCA